GGCAUGGCGGCAGCUACACAUGCAGUCGAACGGUAACAGGAAGCAGCUUGCUGCUUUGCUGACGAGUGGCGGACGGGUGAGUAAUGUCUGGGAAACUGCCUGAUGGAGGGGGAUAACUACUGGAAACGGUGGCUAAUACCGCAUAACGUCGCAAGACCAAAGAGGGGGACCUUCGGGCCUCUUGCCAUCAGAUGUGCCCAGAUGGGAUUAGCUUGUUGGUGAGGUAACGGCUCACCAAGGCGACGAUCCCUAGCUGGUCUGAGAGGAUGACCAGCCACACUGGAACUGAGACACGGUCCAGACUCCUACGGGAGGCAGCAGUGGGGAAUAUUGCACAAUGGGCGCAAGCCUGAUGCAGCCAUGCCGCGUGUAUGAAGAAGGCCUUCGGGUUGUAAAGUACUUUCAGCGGGGAGGAAGGUGUUGUGGUUAAUAACCGCAGCAAUUGACGUUACCCGCAGAAGAAGCACCGGCUAACUCCGUGCCAGCAGCCGCGGUAAUACGGAGGGUGCAAGCGUUAAUCGGAAUUACUGGGCGUAAAGCGCACGCAGGCGGUCUGUCAAGUCGGAUGUGAAAUCCCCGGGCUCAACCUGGGAACUGCAUUCGAAACUGGCAGGCUUGAGUCUUGUAGAGGGGGGUAGAAUUCCAGGUGUAGCGGUGAAAUGCGUAGAGAUCUGGAGGAAUACCGGUGGCGAAGGCGGCCCCCUGGACAAAGACUGACGCUCAGGUGCGAAAGCGUGGGGAGCAAACAGGAUUAGAUACCCUGGUAGUCCACGCCGUAAACGAUGUCUACUUGGAGGUUGUGCCCUUGAGGCGUGGCUUCCGGAGCUAACGCGUUAAGUAGACCGCCUGGGGAGUACGGCCGCAAGGUUAAAACUCAAAUGAAUUGACGGGGGCCCGCACAAGCGGUGGAGCAUGUGGUUUAAUUCGAUGCAACGCGAAGAACCUUACCUGGUCUUGACAUCCACAGAACUUUCCAGAGAUGGAUUGGUGCCUUCGGGAACUGUGAGACAGGUGCUGCAUGGCUGUCGUCAGCUCGUGUUGUGAAAUGUUGGGUUAAGUCCCGCAACGAGCGCAACCCUUAUCCUUUGUUGCCAGCGGUCCGGCCGGGAACUCAAAGGAGACUGCCAGUGAUAAACUGGAGGAAGGUGGGGAUGACGUCAAGUCAUCAUGGCCCUUACGACCAGGGCUACACACGUGCUACAAUGGCGCAUACAAAGAGAAGCGACCUCGCGAGAGCAAGCGGACCUCAUAAAGUGCGUCGUAGUCCGGAUUGGAGUCUGCAACUCGACUCCAUGAAGUCGGAAUCGCUAGUAAUCGUGGAUCAGAAUGCCACGGUGAAUACGUUCCCGGGCCUUGUACACACCGCCCGUCACACCAUGGGAGUGGGUUGCAAAAGAAGUAGGUAGCUUAACCUUCGGGAGGGCGCUUACCCACCUUUGGAUAGUGG
rnacentral:rRNA from 1 species